rnacentral:tRNA from 1 species
GAGGCGGAAGGGGGCUGGUGUCCCCCCCGGACUUCAAAUCCGGUGGUCCCGUCAAGGGCGGGACGGUGGGUUCGAUUCCCAUCCGCCUCC